rnacentral:rRNA from 1 species
UACGGGAGGCAGCAGGGGGAAUAUUGCACAAUGGGCGAAAGCCUGAUGCAGCUAUGCCGCGUGUAUGAAGAAGGCCUUAGGGUUGUAAAGUACUUUCAUCGGGGAGGAAAAACAAAACUAAUAAUUUUAUUUCUUGACGUUACCCGAAAAAGAAGCACCGACUAACUCCGUGCCAGCAGCCGCGGUAAUACGGAGGGUGCUAGCGUUAAUCAGAAUUACUGGGCGUAAAGAGCACGUAGGUGGUUUUUUUAAGUCAGAUGUGAAAUCCCUGGGCUUAACCUGGAACUGCAUUUUGAAACUGAAAUACUAGAGUAUCGUAGAGGGAGGUAGAAUUCUAGGUGUAGCGGUGAAAUGCGUAGAUAUCUGGAGGAAUACCUGUGGCGAAAGCGGCCUCCUAAACGAAUACUGACACUGAGGGUGCGAAAGCGUGGGGAGCAAACAGGGAUUAGAUACC